rnacentral:rRNA from 1 species
ACGUAGGGGGCAAGCGUUGUCCGGAUUCAUUGGGCGUAAAGAGCUCGUAGGCGGUUCGAUAAGUCGGGUGUGAAACCUCCAGGCUCAACCUGGAGACGCCACCCGAUACUGUCGUGACUAGAGUCCAGUAGGGGAGCGUGGAAUUCCUGGUGUAGCGGUGAAAUGCGCAGAUAUCAGGAGGAACACCAGCGGCGAAGGCGGCGCUCUGGGCUGGAACUGACGCUGAGGAGCGAAAGCGUGGGGAGCGAACAGGAUUAGAUACCCUGGUAGUCCACGCCGUAAACGUUGGGUACUAGGUGUGGGGUCUUAUCAACGGAUUCCGUGCCGAAGCUAACGCAUUAAGUACCCCGCCUGGGGAGUACGGCCGCAAGGCUA